GAUGAAGAACGUAGCGAAAUGCGAUAAGUAGUGUGAAUUGCAGAAUUCAGUGAAUCAUCGAAUCUUUGAACGCACAUUGCGCCCCUUGGUAUUCCAUGGGGCAUGCCUGUUCGAGCGUCAUUUGUACCUUCAAGCUUUGCUUGGUGUUGGGUGUUUGUCCUGAGGGACUCGCCUUAAAGUAAUUGGCAGCCAGUGUUUUGGUUUUGAAGCGUAGCACAAGUCGCGAUUCAAGGCUAUACGCCAGCUUCCACAAGCCUUUUUCACUUUUGACCUCGGAUCAGGUAGGGAUACCCGCUGAACUUAAGCAUAUCAAUAAGCGGAGGA
rnacentral:misc_RNA from 1 species